rnacentral:rRNA from 1 species
AUACGAAGGGGGCUAGCGUUGUUUGGAAUCACUGGGCGUAAAGCGCGCGUAGGUGGAUCAAUUAGUUGAGGGUGAAAUCCCGGGGCUCAACCUCGGAACUGCCUUCAAUACUGUUGAUCUUGAGACCGAGAGAGGUGAGUGGAAUUCCUAGUGUAGAGGUGAAAUUCGUAGAUAUUAGGAAGAACACCAGUGGCGAAGGCGGCUCACUGGCUCGGUACUGACGCUGAGGUGCGAAAGCGUGGGGAGCAAACAGGAUUAGAAACCCCAGUAGUCC